rnacentral:lncRNA from 1 species
GUUGGAACAGAAUUUGAGAGCACACCUUUAGAUUGAAGACUGUCUCAGGAUGCUUGGGGUUGGGGGUAGGGUGUCGGGUGGACAUAAGUCUCCAGUCUGUGCUGAUAGUGAGGACAAACGUUCAUUAAAUGAUUGAGGUAUUCAUGGUGGUCUCAUGGGUCUUUAUUCUGUAGUCCUGGCUGGUCUGGAGCUCACUCUGUAGUCCAGGAUGGCCUUGAACAUAAGGCAAUCUUCCUGUCUCAGACUUUCAAGAGCUUGUACUGCAGCCAAAAGUUGCAGUCAUAAGUUCCCGGAACAGGGGAGCUACACAGCAGGAGGAUUGCUUCAAGGGCAGCUUGGACUACACAGCUUGAACCUGUCUCAACAUCUCCUAGAAGCCUCCCCACCUCCAGUUCCCCCCUAUAGUCUUGUCUUUCUAUCCUGCUUCAAGGUCAGCUCCAGAAGUAAAAAUGCAGCUGUCACAAAUGUCCUUUAUAGUUCUUCCCCAGUGCUCCUCUGCCUUUGUCUCUGAGUGGUGGAUAUAAGAGGUGUUUUGAACUCUUGAAGAAUGCCUCAUGGACGCACAAAGGUUACUCCCCUGAGGCCAACACCAUCUUCCAGUGCCUGUCUUGGCCAUGCUCCUCUAUGGCAUCUUAAUGCUUCCAUGUACUCGGACACGUCAGAGGCCAAAAUAGUGAAGCAAGUAACCGUGGACCAACACUCUGAAAACAGGAACCAACCAACCUUCCCUUUCUUUGAUUCGUUUCUCUCAAGUAUUGUCACAGCAGUGGAGAGCUGGCUAGCACUUCUCCCAUGGACAUAUUUCCAAGUGGGACGAGAGAUGGUUGGAUGUUUGGAUGUCAUUAAUCCAUGUUCCUGCACAGGCUGAUGUUGGCUUCCUGCCUUGGUGUAGAGGGGAGCAACCAGCAGGAUUCAGUGGCCUGAAGGCAGGAGGUGGCUCACUGAAGUUCAGGGAGCUGAGGAUCUGGGACCAAACAGAGGGCCUUAUGCAUGCUAGGACCAAACACCUGGGUUUCCACCACUAGGACUCACAGCUAGGAGGUGCUUUCUUAUGUGGCAUAUUUCUUUUCCAGGAUGGAAGAUGCUCAAACCAUUGGAUUUAGAAAUGAUAGGGGGGAAGAAAGAAUUCCUGGAGCUGGUUAUCUCAAAACGUCGCUUGCAUCCAGAUGGUAGGGUUAAAGGAGAUACUCUACUGAAGAUAAUGUGGGGAUUAUGGUUCUAGUCAGCAAAUAGCUGAAUUAUUUUCACACUCCUUUGCAUGAGGGGAUGGAGAUUGAGAAGUGUGUUCUGCCAUUGGUAUAUCUCAGCUAAAC